GAUGAACGCUGGCGGCGUGCUUAACACAUGCAAGUCGAACGAGGUCCAACCUUCGGGUGAAGACCUAGUGGCGAACGGGUGAGUAACACGUGGGCAAUCUGCCCUCCACUCUGGGAUAACCCCCGGAAACGGGAGCUAAUACCGGAUACUUCGGAAUGGUCGCAUGGCCGAUCCGAGAAAGCUCCGGCGGUGGAGGAUGAGACCGCGGCCCAUUAGCUUGUUGGCGGGGUAACGGCCCACCAAGGCGACGAUGGGUAGCCGAGCUGAGAGGCUGAUCGGCCACACUGGGACUGAGACACGGCCCAGACUCCUACGGGAGGCAGCAGUGGGGAAUCUUGCGCAAUGGGCGAAAGCCUGACGCAGCAACGCCGCGUGCGGGAUGAAGGCUCUCGGGUCGUAAACCGCUUUCAGUAGGGACGAAACUGACUGUACCUACAGAAGAAGCCCCGGCUAAAUACGUGCCAGCAGCCGCGGUAAAAC
rnacentral:rRNA from 1 species